rnacentral:other from 1 species
UCUAACCUGAAAUGUGCGAUAAACUCUUGUUAGUUUUGAACCUACAUUUACUUUAAACGGGAUUCCUAUAUCGCUGUGUGGCUGUCAAGCCUCCACUCGAAAGAGGAUUGCAGGGGAAGGCAAAAGCAUAGUUGCGGUGACCCACCUAACGACAGUUAGGAGUCAAAAGGCAGGAGCCGGCAUUUUGGGGAUACA